rnacentral:rRNA from 1 species
UAGGGAAUCUUCGGCAAUGGGGGCAACCCUGACCGAGCAACGCCGCGUGAGUGAAGAAGGUUUUCGGAUCGUAAAGCUCUGUUGUAAGAGAAGAACGUGUGUGAGAGUGGAAAGUUCACACAGUGACGGUAACUUACCAGAAAGGGACGGCUAACUACGUGCCUAG